CAGUAGCCGCGGGAAUACGGAGGGUGCAAGCGUUAUCCGGAUUUAUUGGGUUUAAAGGGUCCGUAGGCGGAUCUGUAAGUCAGUGGUGAAAUCUCACAGCUUAACUGUGAAACUGCCAUUGAUACUGCAGGUCUUGAGUAAAUUUGAAGUGGCUGGAAUAAGUAGUGUAGCGGUGAAAUGCAUAGAUAUUACUUAGAACACCAAUUGCGAAGGCAGGUCACUAAGAUUUAACUGACGCUGAUGGACGAAAGCGUGGGGAGCGAACAGGAUUAGAUACCCUGUAGUCCCUGUCUCUUAUACA
rnacentral:rRNA from 1 species